UACGUAGGGUGCAAGCGUUGUCCGGAAUCAUUGGGCGUAAAGCGCGCGUAGGUGGUCAUGUAAGUCCGCUGUGAAAGUCAAAGGCUCAACCUUUGAAAGCCGGUGGAUACUGCAUGACUAGAGUACGGAAGAGGCGAGUGGAAUUCCUGGUGUAGCGGUGGAACGCGCAGAUAUCAGGAGGAACACCAAUAGCGAAGGCAGCUCGCUGGGACGUUACUGACACUGAGGCGCGAAAGCGUGGGGAGCAAACAGG
rnacentral:rRNA from 1 species